rnacentral:rRNA from 1 species
CCAGCAGCCGCGGUAAUUCCAGCUCCAAUAGCGUAUAUUAAAAUUGUUGCAGUUAAAAAGCUCGUAGUUGAAUUUCUGCUAAAAAUAACCGGUCUGCUUUUAAUAAAGGUGGUAUCUUGGUGUGUUUUUAGCAAUAAUGUCCUUUGAAAUGUUUUUUACUUUAUUGUAAUAAAUUAUAUUCAGGAUUUUUACUUUGAGAAAAUUAGAGUGUUUCUAGCAGGCUAACGCUUUGAAUACUGCAGCAUGGAAUAAUAAAAUAGGAUUUUGGUUCUACAUUAUUGGUUUUAAGAGCUAAAUUAAUGAUUGAUAGGGACAGUUGGGGGCAUUUG